ACUGAACGCUGGCGGCAGGCCUAACACAUGCAAGUCGAGCGGAUGAAGGGAGCUUGCUCCUGGAUUCAGCGGCGGACGGGAGAGUAAUGCCUAGGAAUCUGCCUGGUAGUCGGGGAUACCGCCGGGACACGGGCCCUACUACUGCAUACGACCUGAGGUACAAAGUGGGGGACCUUGGGACCUCACGCUUUCAGAUGAGCCUAGGUCGGAUUCCCUAGUUGGUGGGGGAAAGGCCUACCAGGGCGACGAUCCGUAACUGGUCUGAGAGGAUGAUCAGUCACACUGGAACUGAGACACGGUCCAGACUACUACGGGAGGCAACGGUGGGGAAUAGUGGACAAUGGGCGAAGACCUGAUCCAACCAUGGCGCGUGUGGGAAGAAGGUCUUCGGAUUGUAAAGCACUUUAAGUUGGGAGGAAGGGCAGUAAGUUAAUACCUUGCUGUUUUGACGUUACCAACAGAAUAAGCACCGGCUAACUUCGUG
rnacentral:rRNA from 1 species